GUUAUUAUCAGUCCGUUGAAGCCACUGAUGAUAGUUGCAGGGGUUUUUGGGUUCAUUGCUAUGGUAACUUAUGGAGGCGGCACAUAUUACGCGUGGAUAAAAUGGAAGGACAGCAAUAAACGCUCAAGAGCUCCAGAUUAUAAACCAGACUACUGAUAAAGUUUGCAUUGUCAUGCGACCAGGCGAUGUCAGUAUGUAACUUCAAGACACGACACAUAAACGUUGCAAAGCUACAGUACUUCAAGUAUAAGUAUAUGGAACGCCAAAAUGACAAACCACAAAGUCAAGUCCAUUUGGCGUUCCAUAUACGUAAUUUAAUUUACACUGACACACAACAGAGUGAACAUUCCAAAUUUAUUCUGAUAUUAUUUUGAGGGAAACUAUAAAUGCUAUGACAUGACUGAGCUAAUUAUUGUACAUACGUUUCUCGCUUUCUCAUCAUGCUCUACUAUCACCUAAAAACAACCUAUCCGAAAACAAUACUUAAAAAUUCAAAUAUAACAUGGAAUUGCGCAUGUGAAAAAAAAAUUAUCAGUUAUCAACUUUCCGAGAAAGAGACCAAAAUAAAUCAGUUUUUAUCUAAAUCUCAUUAAACCAUUUUUAACAAUUCCAUAUAAUGGUAAAGCUUGGACGUAGCAUAGUGAUAUUGAUUAAUGACGUCAAAUAGAUUUGAUGAACUUCUUUUUUAGUACGAAAACUUCUGUGGCAGAAGUGUUCUUUACAUAGUCUCCUGUACUCAUUAAAUUUUACAUAAGACUAACCUUGUGGGUAUAUAAAAUGUAUUGUGGUCUAUUUUCUAAUAAAUAAAAACCUACCAUCUCGGUAGGUGGAACACAUGUUACGUAUAUUGUAGUGUAAUAAAGCUUUGCAUAGUAUCAUUAUGUAAAUUAUAGCUAUACAAGUAGGACUACAAAAAACCAUUUUUUAAAAUCACAUAUAAAUAUAUAAUCUUUCUAAUUAUUAACUGUUUUAACUCACCAUGUAUAUAAAAGAGGUACAAAAAUCAUUGAACAAUAUGGAUGUUUUGAUUGCACUAAAUUAUACUAUAUUCCAUAUAAGUAACUUUGCACUAAAAGGAGGUUUAAUCAACUAUAAAACAUGCAGUUCACUAUGUCUACAUUGCAGUUCAUUCAUGCCCAUAUAUAGUUACAUCAUGUGGAACAAAUCACAUCAUAGGUACCGUAGCCAGUGACGUAUCUAAGGGAGUGCGUAAAGGGGGGAACACACGUCCCCAAAAAAUUACUCGCACACCUAGUCUCCCCCCACCCCC